ensembl:lncRNA
UUUGAAACUUGCCUCACGCAAAUAAUGAAGUGUUAAAUACACCAAAAUUAACAGUCUAUAAAUGGCCUAAUAGUAAUAGAUAACAAUAGCCUUGGAAGUAUUCCUCUUGACCCUAAACCUCAAAUGACAGACAGACAGAGUGCACCAGUUUCAAGGCUUACCUCAGGUUGAUCGUGAAGGAAUCCUGACGGAAUGCGUCUUGUCCGCGACUCAGCACAGUCAUUCAACGCUAGGACAUCCUGGACAUCCGGAGAGUUGUUGUCAUGUGUUAAUACAUGAACACUUUACGUUGCACCCCACCGCGACACGUUGGAGCUUUCCUCUGUGCAGCGUCAGAUCGCCCUGGUAGGCUAAAACUCUCAAGGCAUCACUGUCUGAGCCGUUCGUCUCGGAUAACUUAAAUGUCUUAUUUGUCUACAUCUUGAUCCUGUCGUCUCUUCUUCACAUUCGAUGUAAAAUCACGCGGGAGUCAGAGGAGAAACGAGAAGAUGGAAAAAACGGAGAAAAAGUAACUGUAAACCGCAACGUCUGUAGCCGCUUGUGCGGUUGGGCACUUCGGACUGAACAGCUUAUACCGCAGGAGAAAGUAUUAUUCUGCCAUUCAGGGGGGAGAUACAUUAAGGGGCAAUAAGCGAACCCUUACCAUUUUCAGACAUUACCGCAUCAGCAGAAAUGUCCUGUUACGAGUAGCCUAGACAAGAUGACGGGCAUUCUGGGAUGUGUUUUACCUCGAGCCGGUACACUGUUGAGAGGAGAUGGAGACUGGAGUUGUUCAUACUCUCCUCUCAGCUCAAUUCUGUGAGUGGCCACUGACCGGAAAGAGCGGUUGCUGUACAGACCAUUUCAGCAGGAGUGCAUGUUUCAGCACCAUGGACAGCGGUCGCGAGCAGCGCGUCUCCGAACAGAGCGCGCUCGACCAUUAUCCUGACCACCUACCCCCUGCCCUUCCUAGUGCAUGGCGCAAUAUUAUGUUGUUGUUACUGUCAAUCUAAUCGAUAGGACAAUUGAAAACAGGGAUGUUACUGAUUUAAGAUAUAUCUGUUUCAAGUUGCAGUGAGUUAAUUUAAUUAACUUUUUUUUAGAAGGCCUGCAUUAGUGAAUGUUAUGAGGUGUCUGAUCAUUAAUAAGCCAAUAACUAACUCUUUCGCGUCACCCUCGAUGAUUUUAUGAAAUUGUCUUUUGAUAUGUGUAUUUUUUAAAAUUGAUCUAAUUAACAUACCAAAUUCGAAAAAUAUCUAGGGUCAUAACUUUUAGAUCUUAUGGAUCUAAUAAACCGAAUAAACAAAAAAUAUAUGAUCAUUUACAGAGCAUGAUUAAUUGCACAUACUGUAGAAGUAGGCCUAUAGGCAUAAAUACACCAAUGGCCAUGUGCCAAUGUAGCCAGCAGAUGAAGCUAAUUGUAUCAAUAUCCCACAACUCAAUAUGUAUUACCACACAUUGUAAUUUCAUCACAUCUGUGUAGCUGUAUCGAUAUAUCCAUUAGGAACGAGUCUGGGAUUAAUGCUACAACUCGAAUAGUGUUCUGUAGGCCUAGCAUUAAAAUGUAAAAUUCGUUUUGUGAGUUAGGCCACCUAUUUCAUUCGAAAUUACAAUUGCAAAUCAACAAUAUUAUUUUUUAAGACGUUACAGUCAACCGAGUACUCAGCAAUAGGGAAGGCAGCUAUGGACAUGAUCUAUUGACAAUCCAUUGAUAGACAUUAAGGAAAACAUCAAUUGUAGUGAGCUCGGAUAUCAUUAAUAAGAAAUGAACCGUAUUCCCAACCCUCCCUCUCUGCACAACACAUCUCCAUGACACUCUCUCCGUGAUAUUACCAUUACCUAAUCACUGACAUAGUAUUACAUGAUCAGACAUAUGUAUAAUACAUUGUAUUACAGCUUAUCGUGUGGUUGUUAUGAAGCACAAAGCACACAUCUGACAACAGCAUUACUGUAUGUGACAUAUGAAGAUGGAACUGGGAGGGAUCAAGCCCACUCCCUGUAAAGCUCAGCUGUCUAGGUACCAUUGUGCAUAACACUCCAAAUCCAUUAGUAAUGUUACAGAGAGGGAAGCCAGGUGUUUUUUUUACACUAUUCUCUUUUCUCUGGAUCUCUCUCUCUCAAUUCAAUGGGAUUUAUUAGCAAGGUGUGCAUAUGUUUGUUGACAUUGCCAAAGUAAGUCAAAUAGAUAAUAAACAAAAGUGAAAAUAAACAAUAUUUAAAUGAACAGUAAACGUUAGACUCACAAAAGUUUGAAAGGAAUAGAGACAUUUCAAAUGUUAUAUUAUGUAAAUAUACAGCGUUGUAACGAUGUGCAAAAGUUUGAAGUACAAAAGUGAAAAAAAUAAACAUAAAUAUGGGUUGUAUUUACAAUGGUGUUUGUUCUUCACUGGUUGCCCUUUUCUUGUGGCAACAGGUCACAAAUCUUGCUGCUGUGAUGGCACACUGUGGUAUUUCACCCAAUAGAUGUGGGAGUUUAUUAAAAUUGGGUUUAUUUUCUAGUUCUUUGUGGAUCUGUGUAAUCUGAGGGAAUUAUGUGUCUCUGAUAUGGUCAUACAUUUGGCAGGAGGUUAGGAAGUGCAGCUCAGUUUCCACCUCAUUUUGUGGGCAGUGUGCACAUAGCCUGUCUUCUCUUGAGAGCCAGGUCUGCCUACGGCGGCCUCUCUCAAUAGCAAGGCUAUGCUCACUGAGUCUGUACAUAGUUAAAGCUUUCCUUAAUUUUGUGACAGUCACAGUGGUCAGGUAUUCUGCCUCUGUGUACUCUCUUUUUAGGGCCAAAUAGCAUUCUAGUUUGCUCAGUUUUUUUGUUAAUUUUUUCCAAUGUGUCAAGUGAUUAUUUUGUGUACAGAGGAUAAUUUUGCAGUCUCAAUUUGGUGUUUGUCCCAUUUUGUGAAUUCUUGGUUGGUGAGCGGACCCCGGACCUCACAACCAUAAAGGGUUCUAUAACUGAUUCAAGUAUUUUUAGCCAGAUCCUAAUUGGUAUGUCAAAUUUUAUGUUCCUUUUGAUGACAUAGAAGGCCUUUCUUGCCUUGUCUCUCAGAUCGUUCACAGCUUUGUGGAAAUGACCUGUGGCGCUGGUGUUUAGGCCGAGGUAUGCAUGGUUUUUUUGUGGGAUCUAGGGCAACGGUGUCUAGAUGGAAUUUGUAUUUGUGGUCCUGGUAACUGGACCUUUUUUGGAACACAAUUUUUACUGUCAGGGCCCAGGUCUGACAGAAUCUGUGCAGAAUAUCUAGGUGCUGCUAUAGGCCCUCCUUGGUUGGGGACAAAAGCACGAGAUCAUCAGCAAACAGUGGACAUUUGACUUCAGAUUUUAGUAGGGUGAGGCCAGGUGCUGCAGUCUGUUCUUGUGCCCUUACCAAUUUGUUGAUAUAUUUGUUGAGGUUGGGGCUCAAGCUGCAUCCCUGUAUCAUCCCUAGGCCCUAUGGAAAGAAAUGUGUUUUUUGCCAAUUUUAACCGCAGACUUGUUGUUUGUGUACAUGGAUUU